GCGGAAGUGGCGGAAUGGCAUACGCGCUAGUCUCAGAAGCUAGUGGGGAAACCCUUGAGGGUUCAACUCCCUCCUUCCGCACCA
rnacentral:tRNA from 1 species